rnacentral:lncRNA from 1 species
ACAUGGAAUGUGGUUGUGGACCAAGUCAAAGUAGGAAUUAGUUUGGAUUUCAAAUUCUGUGAGAUAGAAUUUUAGGAAACCAAAACUCUUUCCUUAUGGUACUGAUUUUAUCCAAAUUUUUUUUUGAAAUUUUUAUGAAUUUUAUGACACAUAUUGUGCACCCUUUUUUGGUAGUCCAUGGCAAAAAAAGAAGGAGGAGGUGCCUAGGAGUUGG